GGGGGGUGUGCGCACAUGAUGUGCGAUGGGUGCUGGUACUUGGCCCUUAUAUUGGCCCCUUAUCUCUUAUCAAACCUCAAGAACUCACACCCUCUUAAAGAGCAUUUGAGAUUUUAUAGGUUUGCUGUCAGUAGCCAUUAAAGUGUCUGAAAUGGGGACACUUUUUUCAAACGGUCACAAAAUCUUCUCCACUUCGAGUUUUUAGCUGAAUUUUUUUGUGAAUGCCAACAAAAAUAAAAGGAUCACCUCUACCAAAUUUAGAGACAAAACUCUUUCUAAAAAAAUUUUAAAAAAUCCCGAACCGUAAAAAGUUUCAAAAAUCAUGAAAAAUAAAAAACGGAUCGUCUUCCCACGAAACUUCACAUGAAGGCUUAGGAGACCAUUGUAUGAAUUUACAAGCCAUAAACCAG
rnacentral:lncRNA from 1 species